rnacentral:tRNA from 1 species
GAGCGAUGGCUCAGUGGGUAAGAGCACUGGCUGGUCUUCCAGAGGACCUGGGUUCAAAUCCUAGCACUCA